rnacentral:rRNA from 1 species
GGGAGCCAGCGUUGUUCGGAUUUACUGGGCGUAAAGGGCGCGUAGGCGGUCAGCACAAGUCAGUUGUGAAAUCUCCGGGCUUAACUCGGAAAGGUCAACUGAUACUGUGCGACUAGAGUGCGGAAGGGGCAACUGGAAUUCUCGGUGUAGCGGUGAAAUGCGUAGAUAUCGAGAGGAACACCUGCGGCGAAGGCGGGUUGCUGGGCCGACACUGACGCUGAUGCGCGAAAGCGUGGGGAGCAAACAGG